UGUAGCUCAGUUGGUAGAGCACUUGCCUAGCAUGCGCAAAGCCCUGGGUUUAAGUCCCAGCA
rfam:Neotoma lepida isolate 417 scaffold_24642, whole genome shotgun sequence.